GACGAACGCUGGCGGCGUGCUUAACACAUGCAAGUCGAACGGAAAGGCCCUGCUUUUGUGGGGUGCUCGAGUGGCGAACGGGUGAGUAACACGUGAGUAACCUGCCCUUGACUUUGGGACAACUUCAGGAAACUGGGGCUAAUACCGGAUAGGAGCUCCUGCUGCAUGGUGGGGGUUGGAAAGUUUCGGCGGUUGGGGAUGGACUCGCGGCUUAUCAGCUUGUUGGUGGGGUAGUGGCUUACCAAGGCUUUGACGGGUAGCCGGCCUGAGAGGGUGACCGGCCACAUUGGGACUGAGAUACGGCCCAGACUCCUACGGGAGGCAGCAGUGGGGAAUAUUGCACAAUGGGCGGAAGCCUGAUGCAGCAACGCCGCGUGCGGGAUGACGGCCUUCGGGUUGUAAACCGCUUUCGCCUGUGACGAAGCGUGAGUGACGGUAAUGGGUAAAGAAGCACCGGCUAACUACGCG
rnacentral:rRNA from 1 species